rnacentral:rRNA from 1 species
UACGUAGGGUGCGAGCGUUGUCCGGAUUUAUUGGGCGUAAAGAGCUCGUAGGCGGUUUGUCGCGUCGGCCGUGAAAUCUCCACGCUUAACGUGGAGCGUGCGGUCGAUACGGGCAGACUUGAGUUCGGUAGGGGAGACUGGAAUUCCAGGUGUAGCGGUGAAAUGCGUAGAUAUCUGGAGGAACACCGGUGGCGAAGGCGGCAUCCUGGACCAACACUGACGCUGAGUGAGCGAAAGCCAGGGGAGCAAACGGG